UGAGAUAUUCUCAGACGAUGCGCAAUGAGUUCAAUAGACGAUUUGAAAUAGUACACCAACAAAUUUUUAUUGUUAUUUUGGUACAGAAUUUUAGAUAUUGUUUUCAAUAUCAAAUAAUAUUCUAUUUACAUGUACAGGUGUAUAUUUCUAAAAUUCUUUGUGCCUACCUAUUUUUGCACAUUCGAAUUAAUCAACGUACUAGUUGAUGUAUAAAACCCACGAAGCGUUUGCUAAUUGUUACGUUGGACAUGAAUCGCCGAAAUAAAUUCCUCUUCCGCUACGCGGAACUCACGAUCCAGAGACCGAGAGAAACGAUCGAUCAAUGAAAUAUGCACCUUUUAAAACGCCUGAACCUAACUAUACGCGUGCCACGUGAAUACGUACCAUCGAUACAUGCCCCGAUGCACUUGUACGCUCAUAUCCACGAGCGACGACACAGCACCACGUAACUUUGACGCAUUAACCUGGCUCCUGGCCAUGGCGCGUCAUAAAUACGGGUUAACAGCGAUCACCAGUAGUGCGGUCGGCGACAAUAACGGUCGAGAUACUCGAACAACUCGCCCGAUAGGAUGUUACGUGAACUUUGCGUAGUUCUUCGAGAAUCGAACGCCAAACGAGUGUGAAGGAUCGUUUUUGUGGAAGCAAAUGCAAUUUUGAUACUAGCGGCAGUAGCAGAGCGAACGUGUUGAAUAUUUAAUGGAUAUUAGCAACUUUAGCGUAAGACAAAUGUUUUCAAUACUAUUCGGUACCUAUUGAGUUUGUUAGUAAUAAGGCGGCCCCAAAGUUCAUUGUAAGGCAGCGUGAAAUUCUGUUUCCGCGAGAGAGCUGUUAACCGUGGCUCAACUUCUUCGUCCAAAGUUACAUCAAUGAAAUAGUCGCGCGGUGGUUGCUCGGGACCGAUGCCAACAGCUAAUUUCCAUGCGAGCAAAAGUUAUACAACGAAACUGUAACGUUCCUCGAAACUUCGAUGGCCAACCCGAUUUACGCGGAACUCGCUUGCGUUAGUCGAGGCCAGGAGGUGACGUAACGUUUUGGCGAGGAAUUAAAAUUUACAAAAUUUAAGAUCGUACCAGAAACUUGCGAACGGUUUCAACGAAAUGGCGUCAACAACCGCUUCGAUCGCCGCGGAGAAUAAAUUCAGAGAACGAAAAUUAUAUCGUCAGCUUGUUCAAUUUAGUGAAAUCGAAGUUUAGACUCGUUUCGCGCAAAAACAAUUAUUUUUACCACGACUGAAACAAGUAGGAAAUUUGUUUCGCCUCCGACCAAUACCGGCCAGGUAAUCUUAAGAAAAAUUUCCUCUACUUCGUAUGCAAUUGACAACGCAUCGGCAACCUUGCAUUAAUACAAGGAUAUUCGUAAUUGGAAGUUACGGCGAAAGGAAAUUUGCUUGGUCUCUCGCUCCAAAAACUUGAUCCACGAAUGAUUCCGCGGUUAACUGAAAGCAAUUUGCUUGUACCUACAUAGAUUGUACGACCGUAGAAGACUCCUUCGCCAGAGCGAAACCAGAGAAAAAGAUAUGCCGGUAAUGAGCACUUUGUUUCCACCCAGUGUUCGACAUUCGCGGAUGCAGAAAGGUAAAUUCGCUUAGGUAAAAAGGUAAAAUGAUACGGAAUUAAGGGGAAAUUAUGCGGUUUGCGAGCAAAUACUCGAAGAAUGAGAAUGCUCGAUAACUUAAUAAUACUAAAGACAAAUAAAAAGAAAAGAAGAAAAAAAGUACAAAGGUAGAAAAUUGUAGGAACAUAGGGAUUGAGCGUUGAAGGCGAUUCAUCGAAAAGGAGAGACACGAGUUCCUAUUCGUUGCAUGUCGAACGCGUGCGAGCGGAAACACGCUGGUCUGUUCAUUUGCUUCUACAAACAGCAGCUGCAAGUAGAAUCGCGGCCGCAUAUGCACGUAUUUGAAUAAUUGAGCAACAGCCUUACGCAAAUCAGUCGAAUGUAAAUGUGUUCUAACUAGUAUAGGAAUGAGAAACAUCGAUACCAGGGAUUUCCGAUUAUCUAAACUAGUCUUUAUACCAGUAGAAAGACAGACUAACGGGCAAAGAAUAUUUUUUAUUCUUAUUAUUAGAAUGCUAUUCUUUCUUUUUUUUUUUUUUCUUGCUUUUUAUUUUCUGAGCAAGAAAAAAAAAAAAAAAAAAAAAAUAAAGAAAA